CAGCCGCCGCGGUAAUACCGGCGGCCCGAGUGGCGGUCACUAUUAUUGGGCCUAAAACGUCCGUAGCCGGGCUGGUAAGUCCUCCGGGAAAUCUGGUCGCUUAACGAUCAGACUUCCGGAGGAUACUGCUGGCCUAGGGACCGGGAGAGGCCGAGGGUAUUCCCGGGGUAGGGGUGAAAUCCUGUAAUCCCGGGAGGACCACCUGUGGCGAAGGCGCUCGGCUGGAACGGGUCCGACGGUGAGGGACGAAGGCCAGGGGAGCGAACCGGAUUAGAUACCCGGGUAGUCCUGGCUGUAAACGAUGCGGACUAGGUGUCGGGCAAGCUAAGGGCUUGUCCGGUGCCGCAGGGAAGCCGUUAAGUCCGCCGCCUGGGGAGUACGGCCGCAAGGCUGAAACUUAAAGGAAUUGGCGGG
rnacentral:rRNA from 1 species